rnacentral:rRNA from 1 species
UACGUAGGGGGCAAGCGUUGUCCGGAUUCAUUGGGCGUAAAGAGCGUGUAGGCGGCCAGGUAGGUCGGUUGUGAAAACUGGAGGCUCAACCUUCAGACGUCGACCGAAACCAUCUGGCUAGAGUCCGGGAGAGGAGAGUGGAAUUCCUGGUGUAGCGGUGAAAUGCGUAGAGAUCGGGAAGAACGACAAGGGCGAAGGCACUCUGCUAGGCCUGAUUUCGCGACUGACACUCAGGGACGAGAGCCAGGGGAGCGAAUGGG